GGGGUGCUGAUGUCUGUCCUGGGGCCUUCGAGCCCCUUUCCGGGGUUCACUCUCUUGUCAGAAGGAUGUCUGAGAGGCGAGAGGCAGAGGGACUGAAGCUGCCGAAAUCGUAACUUAAAAAGGAGACUUCACCCCAGUUGUUGUGAAGCACCCAGAGAUGCCAAUAACAGAUUUGUCCUGGCCCUUCUUUUCAGUCUUCUUACUACCUUUUGAACUUAAACAAAAAAUCCCUGCACUGCCAAUUCCAGAACUGACUUCAGGAGAACAAAUGGGUCAAGUGUGCAUACUACACCCAUACCAGAACUGAGAAUUUAUAAAGGUUAAUUUGGAGUCACAGUCUGGAUUUUUGAUACUUGGAAGUAUUUGAAAGUAAUCUUGAAACCUUCAAGAGCACUUUGAGGGGAAGGCACUGACUGUCAAAGGAAGUCAUACAACUGCAAAGAUUGUGUUUGGUGGAUUUUUCUGUCAUGUGAUCUAGACUGGUCCAUUGCUGCAGCAGUUAUUCUAGCUCCAGCAUCACUGUCAUGACUGUGUCAGGAUAUUGACAAGGAGUCAGGCUAAGUCCAAGAAACCAUCACAUGAAGUGGAGACUUCAUCCCAGUCUGCCCAGAGGAACCAUCAGGACCCAGAGACGCCAAUAACAGAUUUGUCCUUGCCCUACUUUUCAAUCUUCCCAACUUUUUGAAACUACAAAACCACAGAAAUAUCCCUGAGUCUCUGCCAAUUCCAGAACUGACUGAAAGGAGGACAAAUGGGUCAGACCCAGCAUACUAUCCACUGUGCCACCUUAGCCAGAGGAAAUUUAUGACCCAGAAUUCCCCCAAACCUGGUUGAGCAGCGAUGGUGAAUAAACAGCAUUUACAGAGAACCCCAGAAUAUUGUGUGCCUUACCCCAUCCAUAUGAUGAUCCUUCAUUGAAACAUCUAAUUCUAUGCCUGACCAAUUUUGUGCCCUUUAAAUUUUAUUCCACCGAGGAAUUGCCCCAUUUACCUCACACUGGGAAAAGCUCAGAAAUCAUUGAUUGGUUUCAGGAACCACUGAUUGAAGACUUCACUUCAGUCUGCCCAGAGUAACCAUCAAUACCCAGAGACCCUGGUAACAGAUUUGCUCCUGCUUCUGUCCUUAGCCUCUUCAGAUAAUUUAAAAUGUAACUAAAAUCUUCAAGUCUCUUCCAUACUCAAGAAUAGCUAAGGUGAAGAAUCUGAAGUCCAUAGUGAGUAACGGGCUUUCUCUAGCUCAUGUAGCUAGUUUUGCCAUAUCCAGGACUAGGCUCCUGGUAAUUUCCAUGAGAUCUUGAUGCAAAGGUUCCUAGAGAAGCCAAAGAGAAGCUGAUCUUAGUCCCUGAGGCAGAGGAAGGGAUGGGGCCAGCAAGUGGCGAGUGCCCCAGAGAUCUUUGAGGCUUCUUUACUCUGGAUUCAUCCUCAUGCCAGAAUGAUAGAAGGUCCCUGAGAGUCCCUGGAAAAGUAAGCCUGCAGCCCAGAGCCCAGAAGAUUCAGGGACUAUGAAAAAGAAUAUUCAGUCUAACCUGAGUCCAGUUGGGAGACCAUUAAUGAGAGCUUCUCUUCAAACUCCUUUUCUCAUUAUUCUUAUGCGUCCUUAUUAUCCAACAUGGAAAACUGACCAGUCAGAAGCAUCUCUUAUACCUGGGAUGAAAAUCUAAAAGCAGUGGUCGUUCCUUGGGAGAUUGAAACUUGAUCAGAGUCAGUCCAGAAGAGAAAUAAUUUGUGAUAUGCAAUUUGUGUCAGAGGUGGAUAACACCAUGCAAUAGAUUCUCUUACCCAAAGUGUAUCUACCAUUUGUCUGCUUACAGAGACUACCCAGAACCCUCUGGGAGAAUGGAAGAAGUGGAAGCACUGAGAUUCUCAAGGGAGACUCAAUAAAAAGUAAGACCUAAAACUCCCUUACAGGAUGUUCAGAACAGUGAUUGUCAUUGUUUGACCUGCUGAGGUUUUUCACCACCCUAGAGGCCCUCUAGCAACAUGCUCAAUAAUUGGUCAAAGAGGGUAUUGGCUAUAUUUUUUUAUAAUAACUGAUGAAAUUGGGGGUCAGAAUGAAGUGAGAGCGGACACCAGAAAGAUUGUCCUGUGUGUGAGGUCAAGGAUAGGAAGAUGAGCAUUAACAAGGACAAGUCCAAGAUGAAGAAAUAUCCUGUUGUUGUUAUACUAGGAAUCCUUUCAUGGUUCUUCAAAGUCACAAGAAUAAGAAGUGAGUUGGGAGUGCCUUGUGAAAAGGGACUGUGACAAGUUCAUCCAUCAAAGUUUCUCUGGCUCAAGUCACUUCAUUGUAACAUAUAUCAAGAACUCUGUGCUAGACUAGCACUAAUAGGACCCCCAGUCCUCCAUUCAUAGCAUCUGAAUCUCUCAAUGGACCAAAAAAACCUAACACAGUUAGCCCAGGAUAGUACCAACAGAGAACAGAAGAGAAAAGAAGCAGUCUGAGGCCAAAUUGGAGUCAAUCCAGAAGACAUCUCACAUUUAUGAAGAAGAAGUGUUUGAGAAGGAUACAAUAAUGUCUUCUUUCUAAAGGGUCUUCAUCUUGUGGGUUCUCUUAAACCCACAGCAACCCAGAGAAGUCAUAACUUAAAAAGGAGACUUCAACCCAGUUGUCCUGAGGAAUCAUCAGCUCCCAGAGAUUCCAAUAACAGAUUUGUCCUGGCUCUUCUUUUCAGUCUUCUUACCUCGAACUUGAACAAAAAAUCCCUGUGACUGCCAAUUCCAGAACUGACUGAAAGAAGGACAAAUGGGUCAGGUGUGCAUAUUACACGCAUACCAGAACUGUGAAUUUAUAAAAGUUAAUUUGGAGUCUCAGUCUAGAUUCUGAUACUUGGAAGUAUUUGAAAGUAAUCCUGGAACCUUCAGGCAGUGCUUUGAGGAGAAAGCACUGACUGUCUAAAGAAGUCACACAACUGUAAAAAUGUGUGUGACACAUAUUUCUGUUGCAUGAUGUAGACUGGUCCAUCUCUGCAGCAUCCAGCAUCACUGUCAUGACUGUCAAGAUACUGACAAGGAGUCAAGCCAAGUCACAGAUGAGGAAAUUCCAUUUCUGUGUGACUCAGUUGCAAAUAACACAUUUUGAGCUGUUUUUGAUCAUUUCCAUAAUCAGUCAAAGAAUCAGCCAAAAGAUGCCGCUUACUACUUGUGUGACCUCGGAUAAGCCACCUAAGGAUGUCUACGCAAGUUUGCAGAAAUGUUCUGUGGAUUUCACUGGUCCCUGCUUCAUGGCUGACACUUCUGAUGGUAGCCAAGAGGAAGGUCUCCAGGGAUUUCAGCUCCAGCUGAGUGAUGUGUUUUUAGCUCCAGAUUGGCAAGCUGUUGGAACGGCAGGCUUUGCUUCCGAGCAAGGCUGAGGAGGUGUUUUGGGGAGGUAGCAAAAUUUUAAAAGGUUUGGCUAGUCUGUGUAUAUGUGUUUGGGGCGGUAUCUCUUUUGCUUCCCGAGAAUGCUACUCUAUAUCAUCUUUGUAAAAAAAAAAGAUAUUUGUUGUUGGCUAAAUGUUACACUUGACAUGCUUAGCAAGAAUCACCAUACACUGUUACAUGCCACGUGCAGUGAGAUGAUGCUAUUUUUAGGGCAGCCAAAGGGGAGAGGGAAUCACAGAAGGGGGAGUACAUUUGAUAUGCCUGUCCCUUCUCUGAGAAGGUCACGUCUAAAAACACACUGCUCUGAGGGCCAGAAUUCCCUGGUGCUCCUCAAACAAGCCCCUCCUCAGCUGGAAAAUCCUCUGGAACUCUGUAAAUAUCCUCGGCAGCUUCACUCCUCACCAUUCUCCUUUCCACCAAUUAUCCUAAAGAUUGGCUUUUUUUUUUUUUACUUUUUAGGGUGGGGCUAACUUUUGCAGCAGAUUUAGGAAGGAGUAAGAAGAAAUCUGACCAAGACUGAAAUCUAUGUGUAUAUGUUUGUGUGUCUGUGGGAUUUAUGAGCAUAGUUGGAACAGAGGGAUAGAAAGAAACAUUUAGAAUGUUUAUUGUAAGCAGUGGAGGGUUUGGGGAAUUGGGUAAUAAUAAUAAUAACUUAGAGGCAGCCAUGGCAAAGUGGUUAGAGGACUAGCUUUGCAAUCAGAUACACACACACUGGCACUUACUUAAUGAGUGAUCCUGGGCAAGACGCUUAAAAGUUUUGGUGCCCUUGGCCAGAGGUGGCAAAGACUUCCAGGGUCACAGUGUAGCCCAAACCAGAUUAAAACGCAAUUGGGAAAUAUUUCACAAAAUGAGUAAAAAUACAAUAAAACAUAG